CUUACUGAUUCUGUUAGGGACAUUUGCUUGAUAAUGGAGUUGAUAGAAAAGGAGGAUCGGUUUAAGAUUCAGAUCCUCAAAAUGUCAGGUUAUUGCUUAAAGUUUAUCUUUUGGACUCUUUAUUUCAAUAUUACACACUAUGUCAACUUAUCUGUCUUCUAGAUAUUAGUGGUUCCACCAUCCUCUGGACCUAGAUCCAGGAUGGACUCUUAUUCAGAGGAUAUUCAUGAAUGUUAUGGUUUUAAAAUGUCCUCCUCAUGCCAAAGCUCUUUUGUGUUGCUUGAAACAUAGAAUGUGACGGCAGAUAAGAACCAUUUGGCCCAUCUAGUCUGCCCAAUUUUUUUAAUACUUGUACCCAAUUGUACAGCACUACAGAACUUGCUGGCGCUAUAUAAAUAAUAA